CGUACAAGCUCGUAGGGCGAAACUGCGGACGGCUCACUGUAUCAGCUGCACGCGCGGUGCCCUGGGCCCAGUCGGUUAUCGCGGGCAACUCUCACGCUAAUCGUGCUGGCCGCAUCAGCCACGGGCGCUGCGGGGAUGACGACGCGGGCACCACCGGCUUCUGGCGCAUCACCUAGAAGGGGGGGUAAGGGCCCCCCUUGGGGUUCACGCGGACGGGGGAUCGGGGUUCGACUCCGGAGAGUGGGCAUGAGAGACGGCCCACAGUUCUAAGGGAGGCAGCAGGCGCGGAAAUUGCCCAAUGUGCCACGCACGAGGCAGCGACGAACAAUCUCGAGCCGCAUGGCGGCAUUGAGCUGACCGGGCGCCACACCGGCCCGGGAACGCGAUUAGUGGGAGAGCAUGGUGCCAGCAGCCGCGGUAAUUCCAUCACUGACAGCUUUCUCUUACGUUGCUGCAGUUAAAACGCUCGUAGCCGGCGCCAGGCGACGCGCCACCUUGAGAAAAACGGAGUGUUCACACCAGGGGCCGCCGCUGCACGCCGCAGCAAGGCACGGCGUGGCGCUCCGCGCACCGCCACAUGGCGGCGCGGGACCGGCGGUAUCCGGGGGGGACAGGUGAAAUAGGGUGAUCCCCCGGGGACCCACGGCAGCGGAGGCGGCCGGUAAGCGCCGUCCAGUUGGUCAAGAGCGAAAGCGCGGGGAUGGACGACGAUUAGAGACCGUUUUACUCCGCGCCCUAAACGGUGCCGCCGCGGAAGCGGGCGCGCUCGCCUCCCCAGGGAAACCGCGAGUUCCGGGCUCUGGGGGGAGUAUGGUCGCAAGACUGAAACUUGAAGGUAUUGACGGAAGGAUACCACCAGACGUGGAGUCUGCGGCUCAAUUUGACUCAACACGCUAACCUUACCAGACCCAGACGCCCUGCGGAGCGACAGAUUGAGAGUUCUUUCGCGAUUGGGCGGGCGGUGGUGCAUGGCCGCUCCUAGUUCGUGGUGCGAACUGUCUGCCUCAUCGCGUUAACGAGCGAGACGACCGGCCCCGGGCGAGCGCCGGCGACAAGCCGGACGAACGCGGUCGCGCUAGCAGGUCUGUGAUGCCCCUCGACACUCUGGGCCGCACGCGUACUACACUGCCGGCCGCACAGCGUCGCCCCGCCUGAGGGCGCGGCCACCCGCGAGCCGCCGGCGUGGUGGGGACCGGGGCUUGCAACUGUCCCCCGCGAACGAGGAAUGUCCCGUAGGCGCCCGCGACCACCGGGCGCCGAUUGCGUCCCUGUCCUUUGUACACACCGCCCGUCGCUCCUACCGACUGGGCGGUCUGGCGAGCUGUCCGGAGUGCCCCGCACGAAGCCCCGCGAGCCGUACCGUCUGGAGGAAG
rnacentral:rRNA from 1 species